rnacentral:rRNA from 1 species
CCUACGGGAGGCAGCAGUGAGGAAUAUUGGUCAAUGGGAGAGAUCCUGAACCAGCGAAGCCGCGUGAGGGAAGACGGCCCUAUGGGUUGUAAACCUCUUUUGUCGGGGAACAAAACCCGGGACGUGUCCCGGACUGCAUGUAUCCGAAGAAAAAGCAUCGGCUAACUCCGUGCCAGCCGACGCGGUAAUACGGAGGAUGCGAGCGUUAGCCGGAUUUAUUGGGUGUAAAGGGUACGUCGGCGGUCCGUUAAGUCAGCGGUAAAAUUGCGGGGCUAAACCCCGUCGAGCCGGUGAAACUGGCAGACUGGAGUUGGUGAGAAGGACGCGGAAUGCGCGGUGUAGCGGUGAAAUGCAUAGAUAUCGCGCAGAACUCCGAUUGCGAAGGCAGCGUACCGGCGCCAGACUGACGCUGAGGCACGAAAGCGUGGGGAUCGAACAGGAUUAGAUACCCUUGUAGUC